rnacentral:rRNA from 14 species
GGAACGGGCGCCACCGACCCGUCUAGAAACACGGACCAAGGAGUCUGACACGUGUGCGAGUACCCGGGUGUGGAAUGCCCGCGUGCGGAAUGAAAGUGAAGGGCAUGCCCUGCCAACCGACCUUGAGCUGCUGCGAAGGGUUUGAGUGGAGCACGUGUGUCGGGACCCGAAAGAUGGUGAACUAUGCCUGAAUAGGGCGAAGCCAGGGGAAACUCUGGUGGAGGCUCGUAGCGAUACUGACGUGCAAAUCGUUCGUCAAACUUGGGUAUAGGGGCGAAAGACUAAUCGAACCAUCGAGUAGCUGGUUCCCUCCGAAAUUUCCCUUAGGAUAGCUGCAACUUGUACAGUUUCAUCAGGUAAAGCGAAUGAUUAGAGGAUUCGGGGACGAAAUGUCCUCGACCUAUUCUCAAACUUUAAAUGGGUGAGAAACCUCGGUUGCUUAAUUGAACCUUGGUAUUUUGAAUGGAAGUUGUUAGUGGGCCAUUUCUGGUAAGCAGAACUGGCGAUGCGGGAUGAUCCGAACGCACAGUUAAAGUGCCAAAGUGCCCGCUCAUGCAGAUCCCAUAAAAGGUGUUGGUUCAUUUAGACAGCAGGACGGUGGCCAUGGAAGUCGGAAUCCGCUAAGG